rnacentral:misc_RNA from 1 species
GGCCAAUCAUUUUUCCCUUUUAUUGGCCAAAAAUUCUUCAAUUUCUCUAUCACACAAUCCUCGUACGCUACCCAUCAGCCUUACAUUCAAUCCAACUGCCCAAAAUUUCACACACCACACUCUGUAGCUAGGCCAACUGUGGCAGCUGAAAUGGCCCUGAGUUCAUCUUUUUCUUCUCCCACUGCAAGACUUUUUCUUCCGCCUUCUCCCUCAGCUACUUCACCUUCCAAACCUUCUUUCUUUAAACCUCUCUUGAGACCCAUCUCUGUUUCACUCCCAACUUCAACCACCAUCUCUUUCUUGGCUGUCUUCACACCUUCUCAUGAAGCCAAAGCUUUCGCUCUUUCCAAAGAUCAGAUUGUCUCCUCUCUCACUGAUGUGGAGAAGACAAUUGAUCAGGUUCAGGAAGUUGGUUCAGGUUUCUUGGACACUGCUCAACGUGUUUUUGGGAUUGUUAGUGAUUCUUUGAAGCCUGGCGUAGACGCAGCAUUGCCAAUUGUAAAGCAAGCUGGGGAUCAAGCUUUGAAGAUUGCUUCUCCUGCAAUUUCAGAGGCCUCAAAGAAAGCCCAAGAAGCAAUUCAAAGCUCUGGCAUUGACACACAACCAGUUCUUUCUGCUGCUAAGACAGUGGCUGAUGCUGCACAACGGACCAACAAGGUAAUUGAAGAGGUGAAACCUAUAGCUUCCUCAACUGUCGAAACCAUUUUGUCAGCAGAUCCUGUUGUGAUUGUAGGAGGUGCUGGAGCAAUUUUUAUUGCAUAUCUGCUCUUUCCUCCCAUAUGGUCCUUCAUCUCCUUCAGCUUCCGUGGUUACAAAGGCAAGCUUACUCCUGCUCAAACCCUUGAUCUAGUGUCUGCAAGUAAUUAUGUUAUGAUCGACAUUCGAUCAGAGAAGGACAAGGACAAGGCUGGCAUCCCCAGACUUCCCUCAAAUGCUAAGAACAAGAUGAUUGCAAUUCCUUUGGAAGAGCUGCCAAGCAAGUUGAGAAGCCUUGUAAGAAAUGUAAAGAAAGUAGAAGCUGAAAUGGCUGCUUUGAAGAUUUCAUAUCUUAAGAAAAUCAACAAAGGCUCUAACAUUGUUAUCUUGGACUCGUACUCAGAUUCAGCAAAAACAGUUGCCAGAGCACUGACAAGCCUUGGCUUUAAGAACUGCUGGAUUGUAGCAGAUGGAUUUUCUGGAAGCAGAGGAUGGUUACAGAGUCGAUUAGGCACAGAUUCAUAUAACAUAUCUUUUGCUGAGGUUCUCUCACCAUCCCGAAUAAUUCCUGCAGCAGGUAGACGUUUUGGAACAACCAGCAUCAAAUUGCUUCCCGGAUCUGAUUAAAAUUUUUUGCCUUAUCCAGAUCACUGAACAGAAAUGCUUGAAUUUGCAUUCUCAGUUGAUAAUAGUCAUCUAGAAGCAUCUCUUGUAAUUCUUUUAAAUUCUAGUAAAUCAAAAUUUCUUCCCUUUAUUUCUUUUGUUGCCUUGAUUCUUUUGCUUGUUUCAAUCAAAUGAUAGCAUCAAAGAAGAGAAAAAGAAAAAUGGGAAGGAACAGUUUACCGGUAAACCUCUUAUAUUCCAUGACAUGCAGAACACAUUAUUGAAAUCAUAAAUUCCUGCAAAUUUUAUGUUGAAUCUAGAUAGAAGAAAUUUAACAGUAAACAAUCAGCCGUACUGAUUUCAAAGCAGAAUUUUGCAAAAUAAUUAGGAUGAAAACUAGUUGAAUAUUUCAUAUUAAAGUUGACAUAAAAGAAAAAAUAACUAAAAGAAAAAGAAAAUCAAGGAGCAAAACAAAGGGGCAGAAGAAAGAUUUCUUGUAAGCUUUUGGAUAGAUAAGAAACAGAAAGCAAUUAGCUAUGGCUUGAUGGUAUACAUGGACAUUGGAUUCCUGAGCUAUCUCCCCUAUGAAAAACCAUUCACAAUGCUUGAACUUUGAGAGGUUAGAUAUAUCUUUAAAUUUGUUGCAGUCAGCAUUUGAUUAUCAAAUUCAAUUUGUUUCCUAUUGCCUUUG